UACAGAGGUCUCAACCGUUGUUCUGAUUCAUUGGGCGUAAAGGGUGCGUAGGCGGUCGGGUAAGUCGGAUGUGAAAUCUCAGGGCUCAACCCUGAAACUGCAUUCGAUACUGCCUGGCUAGGGUACUGGAGAGGAGACUGGAAUUUACGGUGUAGCAGUGAAAUGCGUAGAUAUCGUAAGGAAGACCAGUGGCGAAGGCGAGUCUCUGGACAGUUACCGACGCUGAGGCACGAAGGUCAGGGGAGCAAACGGG
rnacentral:rRNA from 1 species